rnacentral:tRNA from 1 species
UCUGUCCUAGUUUAUAAGAAUUUUGUGUUGUGGUCAUAAAGGAGAGUGGCUUUGCUUCUCGGAUGGA